rnacentral:rRNA from 1 species
ACGACCCCAGGUCAGUCGGGACUACCCGCUGAGUUUAA